GUAUGCGAAGGCGGAGGCUAAGCCAACCAUCUGAGCUAUUCGACCUCUUGACUUAGGACUACAACAUUGGCACUCUCUAUGAGAAAGCCUCCUAUCCAUACAUACUCCCUCUUGACUGGGGGGCUGUGUUGUGGUGUAGAGAGGGAUUCUUUAGUCCCACAUUAGUUAUGAGUCAAGAGAGAAUAUGGCUUAUAUAGAUUGAAACAUUCUCUCCCA
rnacentral:lncRNA from 1 species